CGCAUUUGCAGUGAGUGCGUGGAGCCCCAGGCAAGGCCUGGGAAAGGUUGCAGCACGGAGGUAUCCAGUUAGAAAGCACCUUCCCGAAAUAUAGAUUCCUUCUUUCCACCCCCGACCUUCAUUUUCUGAGAUGUGAAGACUGAAAUCCCAGAGGGACCUGAGGAAAUUCCAGAAAGGUUAAAAAGAGCCAGUUAAUGGCAGAAGCUGGAACUAGCAAUUUCCUGUUUCUUUGGCUUUGCAUGUGAUGCUUCCUGUGAUCUGAAAUGCCUUUUCUCUGCUUUUUCUUUAUAUAGGAAUUCCUGUUUAUUUUCUGUAAUUCAGCCCACGCAUCGUCCCUUUCAGGUGCCUUCACCCACCCAGCCGCCGCGGAACUCCCCUGCUCCAGUUCCUCAGUCCCUCCUCAUUUCCUUCCUACAUCUAGGGGCCACCAUUGUUGCGGUUCGCAUGCUGCUUUGGAAUUUUCGGUUUACAGUUUUGUCUCCCCCUAAUAGCCUUGUGGGUUUUCAGUGGGCAAGGACUGGGGCAGCUCAACCAGAAGGGGAUUUCGGGAGUCUAUUAUGAAUAAAUGAAAAAUAAAAGUCCUAAGAUCAAGAACUGGGAUUGCCUCCAUCCCGGUUGCCUUAUCCAGGCUACAAGCCUGGCUGUCUUAUUCGUCUCUACGUAAUUCUAGCACCCAGGAUACAAUGCCAGGCAAAUAGUAAGGGCUUAGUAAAUAUUUGAUGAAUUGUAUUGAAUUGAUACUGAUCUGCAGGUCUUAUGACUGUCAGGUGCUAUCAACCACAUAUCUCUCUACGUAAUUUGAUUUCUUUCUCACAGAAAACCAAUAAGGAAGACAUUUUUUCUGUUUCCCAGAUGAGAAACUGAGGGACUUGUCUAGGGUCAUUCAAGCUAUGAUCAUAGCGUACAUAGAGCCUAAGUCCUAGCUUUUUGGCUAAUUUCUUCUAAUUCAUUCCGUCUUUCCUUUCUUCCUUUUUUCUGUUCUUCCAUCCUUCCUCCAUCUAUUCACUCAGUUCAAUAUAAUGCAGAGUCUACUGUGUGAUUUGUAUCGCCCUUUACACCCAGAAUGUUAAUUCUUACAGCAUCUCAGUCUACUGUUAAGUAGUAUUUUCCACUAUACUUGCUUUGGAAUAAGCCCCACUAUUUUUAAAUCCUUAAAGGUGAAAAGAGUAAGUGUUUCUCUGGGCUAAUAAUACUUUACUGCUUAAUUGACCCACAGGUUCCGCAUCCCCCAAUUCAACCAACCACGGAUGGAAAAUAUUUGGAAAAAAUAAUAAUACAAAAGAAAUGAAGCAAUAAAAUAACUAUUCACAUAGCAUUUACAUUGUAGUAGGUGUUAGAAGUAAUCUAGAGAUGACUUAAAGUAUAUGAGAGGAUAUUCAUAGGUUACGUGCAAAUACUAUGCCUUUUUAUAUAAGGAAAUUGAACAUCUGAGGAUUUUGGUAUCUUGAGGGACCUUGGAACCAAUCCCCCUCAGACACUGAGGGACACUUGUAUGCUUUUUUAAUGGGGCAAGUAUCGAUCAAUAUGCAGCCACUGGGGCCAGGGAGCAGUAGCCAUUCCUGCUAAAGCCAGAUUUUCAGGCACAAACAUCCCGAGGGGUGUCUGACAGGAUCAUUUCCCUGUGAUUCUUCAGGCCAAUGUGCUGAUUCAUGGGCAAACGGUCUCUCUAAAGUGGAGCACACCUGCAUUAUGUCCUGCAGUAGAUGCAGCUCGUUUCAAAUGAAACCUCAGUGAAAAUGGCCUUGGUGACAAUGAACACUCAGACAUCAUAUCGGUGGGUGAAAGAUGCUGAAAGCAGGACAUGGGAUUUGAGUGAUUGCACUCCCAGCACGUCCAUGUUUACAGAGCAACGCAAACGUGGCUAUUAACACAAUCCCUAUCUAGAGGGUUUUCCAGAACUGUUAUCUUCCCAUGAAUCAAUAUUCUAUAGAAGAGAAAGUAAGAUACAGGGAAAUUAAAUUACUUACCCAGGGAUCCUUUUCAGAUAGUCACUUAUUCAACCACAGCUAUAGGCUGGAACCCACAGUUGGAGGCCUGGCUUCCUUCCAUAUUCUUAAAUCACACUGGGAGAAAAUAAAAAACAGCUCCUCAGUGGAAACUUCGAUCGCUCCAGUUGUUUCAGUUUUGUGCCUAAUAACCACAUAAAGGCCACUAUCAUCUUGUAUUCAAACCUUGAAAUUGUUAUUUUAAAGAAAUGAUCUCUUUAAUAACAAUAAUGUUUACUGACUAUGUAGUAGGUGGAAGUCAUGUUAAAUGCUUCAUAUACUUUAUCUUAUCUAAUCAACCCUAUAAAGAAGGUAGAGAUGCAGAAACAGGCUCACAAAGGGAAAAAAACAGAAUAAAACUUCUCAUAAAUCUCACAUACAGUAAAAGCAGGGCUGGAACUCAAAUCCAGAUCCAUCUGGCUCAUGGUCCUGUGUGCUUAUAACCCCUUCCCUACAGUGCCUCUCUCAAAGCCAUUUCUCCUGAACCCAGCUCCUCUCUAGGUAGCUAGAUAAUAGAGAAAGAGACCCUUGUUCCAAGGCCUUGAAUUGAAACUUACACACCUUAUUGAUUAUACCAGUACCUCAUAUAUUAAAGCAUGACAUUGUCAUAAGCAGGAAAGCAUGCGUUAUGCACAGUAGUGCUGUGCCAUUUGUAGACAGAAUCCUUGUCCCCCCAGGAAGUAUAGUCGUUCUCUUUAUGUUAUACCUACUUCCAAAAAAAGGAUUGGGGUUGUUUACAUAACAAGGACCCAGGGAAUUUAUCAGCUGCUGGAAACUGAUAUGAUGAAAAUGGAAAAGACAUGCAAUUAACUGAAUGACAAACCUUGAAUGAGGUCACAAAUUGACAUAUGUCAACACCUAUGCCCCGAGGGUGGGAAGGGUAAGGUGUAAAGGCAGUUAAAGAGUCUCUAGUGGAAAGGCUUGGAACGGUGAGAAGUUCUAAAGGAGCCUCAUGGUCCACUAGCCUUGGAAGGCCAUGGAAGAACCAGUCUGAAUGUUUAGCAGUGUGGGAAUGGCUGUGUCCCUUUACGGAACAAAACACAGUCAUGGGAAAUCAUUAUCUAGAAGACUGUAGCAACAGUCUGCAUUCUGUUCAUGAGAUUCACUUAUGUUACAUGUAUAGCGCUAGUUCAUUCGCUUUCACUGACUUACAGUAUUCCAUCAUUUAAUGUACUCUGUUUUCUCGCUGACAGAUAUUUUGAUUGUUUCUGAUUCUUCCAAUGCUGGUAUGAUCAUUUGUGUACCUGUCUUCUUAAUCAUCUAUGCAAAAGUUAUCUAGAGUACAUCUCUAGGAAUAUAAUAGCUGGUAAUAGGAUAUUUGCAUCUUCAAUUUUAAUGCAAAAUCAGUUUCCUCGUCAUCAAUAUAUAAGAUUUCCUAUGGCUUCACAUCCUCAACUAUACUAUUAUUAUCAGAGAGUUAUGGACUGAAUGUGUAUGUCUCCACCACCAAAUUCCUAUGUUGAAAUCCUAACCCCCAAUGUGACAGUAUUAAGAAAUGGGUGAGGUGAUUAGGUUAUGAGCCCUGAUGAAUGGGAUUAGAGCCUUUAUAAAAGAGUCCUCAAAGAGCCCUCACACCUUUCCACCAUGUGAGGACACAGCUAGAGGGGAACCCUCACCAGACACUGAAUCUGCCAAUGCCUUGAUCUUGUACUUUCUAUCCCCAAAACUGUGAGAAAUAGAUGUUGUUGAAACCGUCCAUCUGAGUAGCUAGGACCACAGAUACUUGCCACCAGGCCUGGCUAAUUUUUGUAUUUUUUGUAGAGUCAGGGUUUCACCAUGUUGCCCAGGCUGGUCUGGUACUCCUGAGCUCAAGCAAUCCACCCACCUCGGCCUCCCAAAGUAUUGGGAUUAGAGGUGUGAGCCACUGCACGCAGCCCAGAUGUUUAGUAAAUACCGCUACUAUGGUGAGUGUUACGUGUUGAACUGUGUCCCCACCUAUUCAUAUGUUGAAGUCCUGAACUGAAGUACCUCAGGAUGUAACCAUAUUUGGAGAUCAGGUCUUUAAAGAGGUAUUUAAGGUUAAAUGAAAUCAUUAGGGUGGGCCAUGUAACUGUCUGUGUCUUGCUUUUUGUAUUUUUAUGAAGUCUUUGGAGAAAUAAAAGUUUUUAAUUUUAAUGUAAUCAGAUGUCUCAAUCUUUUCCUUUGUAAUUUUGCUUAAAAAAUAAUCUUUUCCCCUGAAAUAAUAAAGAUUUUUUUUCUGUGUAGUAAUAAAGGUAUUUUUUCUAUACAGACAGUUCCUGAUCUAUGAUGGUUCUGCUCAACGAUCUUUUGAUUUUAUGAUGGUACAAAAGUAAUAUGCAUCCAGUGGAAACCAUAAUUCAAGUACCC
rnacentral:lncRNA from 10 species